GGAAACUACUGCCCUCGGGCGGGGGCCGCAGGGGGCGGGAGCAGAAAAGUGACGAAUGGAUCGAAGAAGGGAACAUAAAUGCGUGGGUAAAUACCUAGGAGUGGAAUUGAUGAGUAAUAUGUGACUCUGGUACUCUUCACUGUAUCCUGGCUGGAAUCAUUUACGUUGUGAGUGAAUUCUUCAUUCAUCAAACAAGACCCUCUUCACAGGAUUUCUUUGCUUCCAGUCUAGUUUUAGCAGUCCAUCCUUCACAGUCCAUUCUGAAAUAAACACAGAUGAAGUUUUCUUCCCCCAAA